rnacentral:lncRNA from 1 species
GCGACACCACGCCAAGCUAAUGUUUUUUUUGUUUGUUUGUUUGUUUGUUUGUUUAGUAGAGAUGGGGUUUUACCAUAUUGGCCAGGAUGGUCUUGAUUUCUUGACCUCAUGAUCUGCCCGCCUCGGCUUCCCAAAGUCUGGGGAUUACAGGUGUGAGCCACCGCGCCCGGCCAGAAAGAAACAAGAGUUUAUCAAAAACUCCUGUGGAAGAAAGGAUCAUCCUGCAUUUAGCCUCAGAGACCAAGCCAGGCUGCAGCUCCUCUGGGUGCCUCCCCCAUGCCUGCCCACUGAGGCAGAGACCCUCCUUCCUCAUGCUCCCACAGCCCUUCUUCUCUGAGACCUGGCUCCUGAAAUCCUCUUGCUGAGUUGUCUGUGACCUCAAUUGAGUGAAUAACUCCUCAUGGCCAGGGGCUGUGUUUCCCCAUGGAGCCCCAGCACCUGCCAAAACCUCUGACACACAAGGAGCACUCGGUGAGCUGUGGACAGAUGCAUGAACAGAAAGACAGCCUUUGAAUUCAAUGAUUUUGCCCGUUCCUCGUUAUGAUGAUUGUAUGGAGGAGUGGGGAGUAAAGCACAGUUCAGCUUUAGUUGGACGAGUAUCACUAUCAUCAUUCAUCCUAUAAUACAUUUAUCCCUUUCAAGGGAGUCACUCUGCUCAUUCCCCUCAGUAGGAGAGAAAUAAGCUGAAAGUGGGUGCUCCUAGGAUGCAAGUACAGCAAAGUUCCCCUUGACCAGUCAUGUGGGCAAUGACUGUGGCUGGGACAGUGAUGCAUGAGGACUGAAAGGGGUUCAGAGGUCAUGAGAACAAAAACAACCCAGAAGGUGCUUUGCUUCUGUGAACACAUCCCGGGUUCUUCUAUUUUACAGCCACACAAACCACUAAGACCAAGUGUCAUUGCUCCCACUAAUGAUAGAAUUUUGAUAUAAAUAACACUCAGCUGGCAGUCCAAUUUGAGUUGUUAUGCUGGAAUUUUUAACCUGAAUGUAGGAGUCUUGUACAAAGCUAAGUUUAAAAUUAUUUGAGUGGAAAUGCAAAAAUCAAAGGGAUAAAUUCACGUUGAAAUAUUGACAAGCAGUUUUCCGGUCCACAUCUAAUUUUCUUAGAAAAAGGACGAAGGUUGUUCCAGGCUAUCAUUCUGUCAUCUUACUUGUAGGUGUUCCAGUGUGGGGACACUAUACUGUCUCAUUGUGAAAGAUGACAGCUGGCCAGCUGCCUUCUAAUGUCUACUCCAUCGUAACUGACCAUCCAAGGACGCACAGGUCUGGAGCUGCAAAAGGAGCAGCACUAGGAAAGAAAACCCAGUCUUCUUGAGGUUGACUUCCCUUAUGGGGUAUGAACUGGCCACAUCCUUCAUAUAGAAAAUUGAAUAAUUUAAUAAGGAAUGGUCUAACUCAGAUUCUAGUUCUAUCUGUUUAUUUGCCUGGUAAUUACAGCAUAACAACUCAAAUUGGACUGCCAGCUGAGUGUUUGCCUGGGGCCAGAGAUUUCCUUGUGCACAUACUGGUGUUCCCUUACACCAAGUAGAGACUGAUAAAAAGAAAAAAUAAUAAUUUUGAAAAUCUGAAUUGGUAUACUCUCAAAAAUUAAUAUAGCAUGCCAAAUGGAAGCCUUGAAGCCACCCCUCAAACUGGUUAAGUAGUUUUCUAAAUGACCAUACCCCAUCCACCUUAACUUCUCUUCAAUGUACUCACCAAGCUGCUGCAAAUUGAUCUUUGUAUUUUUCUUUCUAAAUUGUGAAAUAUUUCAAGUAUAGAACAUAAUAAUCACCGACAAACUCAGAUGCUCAGAUUUAAUAAGUCUUAAAAUUUAGAAAAUUAAUGUUAGAUUCCUGAGUUUUCUUAAAAGAAGUAAAGAGUUAAAAAGCCAAUUAAAAUCUAACCCCCUUCCUUCCCAUAGGUAGUUAAUUGUUCUUCUGAGGUUAAGAGACACCAUUUCCAUGCAUGUUUGCAUGAGUUAUAUAUAUAGAUACUCCUUGACUUACGAUUAGUUUCCAUGCUGAAAAACCCAUUUUAAGUUGAAAAUACUACAGAUUGAAAAUGCCCCUACAAACAUGUAUACAUAUGUAACUAACCUGCACAUUGUGCACAUGUACCCUAAAACUUAAAGUAUAAUAAUAAUUAAAAAUAUAUAUAUAUAAACAUAUUGUUGCUUCAAUAUAAGGAAAAAAAAGAAAAAAAAAGAAAAUGCAUUUAAUAUGCCUAAUCUAUCAAACAUCAUAGCUUAGCCUAGCAUACCUUAAAUUGUGCUCAAAACACUUACAUUACCCCACAGUUAGGCAAAAUUCUCUUAACACAAAGCAUAUUUUAUAAUAAGGGUUGAAAAGUUGGGCUAUUGUAAGUCAGGGAUUGUCUGUAUUUGAUUUUAUCUAUGACAUGUACAUGUGACUAUAUAUACAUAUAUAGUGCAUAGAAUACAUACUUCUGAUGUUCAGUUUUUACAUGGCAAUUUUUGAGAUUUAUAUGUAUGCAUUUAUUUAUAUGUAUGUAUGUGUGUACAUGUAGUUUUUUUCUUGUGCAACAAGGUUUGAUGGAUAUGAUGGGUGGAUGUUAUGGAUAUUUUCACUAGGUAUUGUGGUUAAUUUUAAGUGUCAAUUUGGAGGGUGUUUUUGGAUGAGAUUAACAUUUAAAUUGGUCAACUUUGGUAAAGGAGAUUGCCCUUAAUAAUGUAGUUGGGCCUCGUCCAAUCAGUUAAAGGCCUGAAUAAAACCAAAAGACCAGCUUCCUCUAGCAAAAGGAAAUUUUCCAGCAGAUGAACUCCAGACUGGAACUGUGCUGUUGCCUCUCCCGGAUCUCCAGCCUGCCAGCCCACACGUCAGAUUUGGACGUGCCAGCCUCAAUAAUUGCAUGAGCCAAUUCCUUGUAAAAUAUCUGCUUCUCCAUAUACACAUCCUUUUGACUCUCUUUCUCUGGGAAAUCCUGACUAAUACAUCAGGUACAGACAAGCUUCUCCCCAGAGUGGUUGGCCUAAUUCACACUCACCUAGGCAAGGUAUAGAUUUCCUGUCUCUCACAUCCGUUUGGGGUGUGCAAGUCAAGUUGAUUUUUGUCAAUCUGAUGGGUAUGAAACAGAACUAUCAUUUUAAAUAGCAGUCCCUUGAUUCAUAAUAAGCAUCUUUCCUCCUUUUUGGUCAUUCAGUACCUUUUUCUGUAACUAAUUUGUUCACAAUUAUUUUUGGUCCCCAAAUACACUAUUUGCCUUUUUGUAUACAUCUAAGCAGGAGUGAUUGAACAGGCUAGAUAAUCUUUUUCUUUAAAGUUAAAUGUGUAAAUGGUGUUUUCUCUUGGUCUGUGGAAUGUCCCUUCACCUGCAUGUCCAGUGUUAUUUGUAAUAUCUAGUUUUAAUUAUAAUAUGGUCAAAUGUAUCAAUCUUUUUCAUGAUAGUGAUUUUUGUGUCUUGUUGAAAUAAUUUUCCCAUUAAGAUAUACCAUAUUGACAUUUUGGGCUGGAUGAAAAAUAAAAGAUACACCAUGAUUUUAAAUACUUUUCUUUUUCUAUGUGACUACACCUGAUAAUUUAUGAAAUCUGCAAAUAAUAGAAUCAAAGUAGUAAAGAAAAUGAAUAAACUACAGCUACACUUAUCAACAGAAAUGACAUGAUAGACUUUGAAUUUACAGACUUUGGAUUUCACCAGAUUUUAAAACUUAUGUCCCUUUUCUGUUCCAGAAUCUGAUGCAGGAUCCCACAUUGCAUCUGGUUGUCAUAUCUGCUUCUGCGUUUUACGGGUUCUCAGUAUUUCUUUGCCUUUCAUGAAGUUGACACCCUUGAAGAGCGUUGGUUAGUUUUAUUUUUGGAGAAUUUCCCUCAAUUUGGGUUUCUUUGUUCAGAAUUGCUAAUCUAUAGCUUGUGAGAAACCAAAGUACUAAUCAGAGUAAAGUAUUUAAUUUUCUCUUCCUAGAUUCUUAAGGUGGAAGCUUAGAUUACAGAUUUGAGCCCUUUCUUCUUUUCUAAAAUGAGCAUUUUUUUAGAAAUAUCCCUCCAAGCACCUCUUUAGUUGGCUGCCACAAAUUUUGAUGUGUGGUAUCUCCAUAAUUUUCAUUCAGUUCAAAACAUUUUUAAAUUGCCUGUAUACUUCCUCUUUGGCCUAUGGGUUAUUAUAUUGUAUACUGUUUAACUUCCAAAGAUUUGUAGAUUUUUCCACAUCUUUCUGUUAUUAAUUUCUAGUUUUAAUUCUAGACUCGAGCAAAUAUGUUUUAUAUUUUUUAUUCUUUUAACUUUGUUAACUUUUAUUUAUG